rfam:Genlisea aurea contig_557, whole genome shotgun sequence.
AAACGCUAAAUGAAAUGAGAAUUUCACGUUUGGUGUUAAGGGAGGGAAAACUUUUUAAUAAAAUUUUGGCCUAUCCUAAU